rnacentral:sRNA from 1 species
GUUCUGCCCAUGCAGGGAAGGAUGAGAAACUUCGAUCAAGGUUCGAUUCGAGCGAUAGCGAGAAAGCGUUGCCGCAGGCAACGACCCGAAGGGCGAAGCGCAACGCGCUGAGUCAUCCUUUCCGCCACCACCA